GGGAAGAGCCCAAACCAACAAGCUUGCUUGUUGGGGUUGUAGGACACUCUAUACGGAGUUACAAAGGACGACAUUAGACGAAUCAUCUGGAAAGAUGAAUCAAAGAAGGUAAUAAUCCUGUAGUCGAAAAUGUUGUCUCUCUUGAGUGGAUCCUGAGUACGACGGAGCACGUGAAAUUCCGUCGGAAUCUGGGAGGACCAUCUCCUAAGGCUAAAUACUCUCUAGUGACCGAUAGUGAACCAGUACCGUGAGGGAAAGGUGAAAAGCACCCCGGAAGGGGAGUGAAAUAGAACCUGAAACCGUGUGCUUACAAGUAGUCAGAGCCCGUUAAUGGGUGAUGGCGUGCCUUUUGUAGAAUGAACCGGCGAGUUACGAUUUGAUGCAAGGUUAAGCAGUAAAUGUGGAGCCGUAGCGAAAGCGAGUCUGAAUAGGGCGUUUAGUAUUUGGUCGUAGACCCGAAACCAGGUGAUCUACCCUUGGUCAGGUUGAAGUUCAGGUAACACUGAAUGGAGGACCGAACCGACUUACGUUGAAAAGUGAGCGGAUGAACUGAGGGUAGCGGAGAAAUUCCAAUCGAACCUGGAGAUAGCUGGUUCUCUCCGAAAUAGCUUUAGGGCUAGCCUCAAGUGAUGAUUAUUGGAGGUAGAGCACUGUUUGGACGAGGGGCCCCUCUCGGGUUACCGAAUUCAGACAAACUCCGAAUG
rnacentral:rRNA from 1 species